rnacentral:rRNA from 1 species
AUUGAACGCUGGCGGCAGGCCUAACACAUGCGAGUCGAGCGGAUGAAGGGAGCUUGCUCCUGGAUUCAGCGGCGGACGGGUGGGUAAUGCCUAGGAAUCUGCCUGGUAGUGGGGGAUAACGUCCGGAAACGGGCGCUAAUACCGCAUACGUCCUGAGGGAGAAAGUGGGGGAUCUUCGGACCUCACGCUAUCAGAUGAGCCUAGGUCGGAUAGCUAGUUGGUGGGGUAAAGGCCUACCAAGGCGACGAUCCGUAACUGGUCUGAGAGGAUGAUCAGUCACACUGGAACUGAGACACGGUCCAGACUCCUACGGGAGGCAGCAGUGGGGAAUAUUGGACAAUGGGCGAAAGCCUGAUCCAGCCAUGCCGCGUGUGUGAAGAAGGUCUUCGGAUUGUAAAGCACUUUAAGUUGGGAGGAAGGGCAGUAAGUUAAUACCUUGCUGUUUUGACGUUACCAACAGAAUAAGCACCGGCUAACUUCGUG